CCCUUAGAUGUUCUGGGCCGCACGCGCGCUACACUGACGAAUUCAACGAGCUUUUACUAUAUUUGUAGUAAAUUCCUUUAUCGGAAGAUAUGGGUAAUCUUUAAAUGUUUGUCGUGAUGGGGCUAGAUUUUUGCAAUUAUUAAUCUCCAACGAGGAAUUCCUAGUAAACGCAAGUCAUCAGCUUGCAUUGAAUACGUCCCUGCCCUUUGUACACACCGCCCGUCGCACCUACCGAUUGAAUGGUUCGGUGAAGAUCUCGGACUUCGAUAUUUAUUCUUUAUUGAGUUUAUAUUGUGGGAAGUUAUCUAAACCUCAUCAUUUAGAGGAAGGUGAAGUCGUAACA
rnacentral:rRNA from 1 species